GACGAACGCUGGCGGCGUGCUUAACACAUGCAAGUCGAACGGAAAGGCCCGGCUUUUGUGGGGUGCUCGAGUGGCGAACGGGUGAGUAUCACGUGAGUAACCUGCCCUUGACUUUGGGAUAACUUCAGGAAACUGGGGCUAAUAUCGGAUAGGAGCUUCUGCUGCACGUGGGGGUUAGGAAAGUUUCGGCGGUUGGGGAUGGACUCGCGGCUUAUCGGCUUGUUGGUGGGGUAGUGGCUUACCAAGGCUUCGACGGGUAGCCGGCCUGAGAGGGUGACCGGCCACAGUGGGACUGGGAUAGGGCCCAGACGGCUACGGGAGGCAGCAGUGGGGAAUAUUGCGCAAUGGGCGGAAGCCUGAUGCAGCAACGCCGCGUGCGGAAUGACGGCCUUCGGGUUGUAAACCGCUUUCGCCUGUGACGAAGCGUGAGUGACGGUAACGGGUAAAGAAGCACCGGCUAACUACGUG
rnacentral:rRNA from 1 species